UUUUCCAUCAGAGGCAUUGUAGGUGUGACUGCUGUGUCACAUGGGUGUCAGUAGGUGGCAGAGAGAAGAGAAGCUGAGUCUACACUCAGUGUUCUGACCUAUGAACAUUUAAAUGAUUAACAACCUAACAUU